UUGCCAUGACGACCUUUUAGGACACCUUUGUAUGAACCAUGAAAAUAAACCUGAAUCUGAGCGAU
ensembl:snoRNA SNORD58 Small nucleolar RNA SNORD58